UAACACAUGCAAGUCGAACGGUGAAGCCAAGCUUGCUUGGUGGAUCAGUGGCGAACGGGUGAGUAACACGUGAGCAACCUGCCCUGGACUCUGGGAUAAGCGCUGGAAACGGCGUCUAAUACUGGAUAUGAGACGUGAUCGCAUGGUCGUGUUUGGAAAGAUUUYUCGGUCUGGGAUGGGCUCGCGGCCUAUCAGCUUGUUGGUGAGGUAAUGGCUCACCAAGGCGUCGACGGGUAGCCGGCCUGAGAGGGUGACCGGCCACACUGGGACUGAGACACGGCCCAGACUCCUACGGGAGGCAGCAGUGGGGAAUAUUGCACAAUGGGCGAAAGCCUGAUGCAGCAACGCCGCGUGAGGGAUGACGGCCUUCGGGUUGUAAACCUCUUUUAGCAGGGAAGAAGCGAAAGUGACGGUACCUGCAGAAAAAGCGCCGGCUAACUACGUGCCAGCAGCCGCGGUAAUACGUAGGGCGCAAGCGUUAUCCGGAAUUAUUGGGCGUAAAGAGCUCGUAGGCGGUUUGUCGCGUCUGCUGUGAAAUCCCGAGGCUCAACCUCGGGCCUGCAGUGGGUACGGGCAGACUAGAGUGCGGUAGGGGAGAUUGGAAUUCCUGGUGUAGCGGUGGAAUGCGCAGAUAUCAGGAGGAACACCGAUGGCGAAGGCAGAUCUCUGGGCCGUAACUGACGCUGAGGAGCGAAAGGGUGGGGAGCAAACAGGCUUAGAUACCCUGGUAGUCCACCCCGUAAACGUUGGGAACUAGUUGUGGGGACCAUUCCACGGUUUCCGUGACGCAGCUAACGCAUUAAGUUCCCCGCCUGGGGAGUACGGCCGCAAGGCUAAAACUCAAAGGAAUUGACGGGGACCCGCACAAGCGGCGGAGCAUGCGGAUUAAUUCGAUGCAACGCGAAGAACCUUACCAAGGCUUGACAUAUACGAGAACGGGCCAGAAAUGGUCAACUCUUUUGGACACUCGUAAACAGGUGG
rnacentral:rRNA from 1 species